GUUAUAAUUUUCACUAAAUUUUCAACUGCACACACUUACCAGUGAACUGUGUGUAAAUCAUCAACUGCCUGUGUAUCAGCUGAUUUCUACACCAGCUUUACAUCCUGAGCAGAAGAUUGUCGUGGAGAGGACGGACCCUUGAUGCUCUGCCUUUUUGCACCAACAAUACAU